rnacentral:rRNA from 1 species
CCCUUAGAUGUCCUGGGCCGCACGCGCGUUACACUGAUGCAUUCAACGAGCUUAUAACCUUGGCCGAGAGGCCUGGGCAAUCUUGUUAACGUGCAUCGUGAUAGGGAUAGAUUAUUGAAAUUAUUAAUCUUGAACGAGGAAUUCCUAGUAAACGCAGAUCAUCAAUCUGCAUUGAUUACGGCCCUGCCCUUUGUACACACCGCCCGUCGCACCUACCGAUUGGAUGGUCCGGUGAAGCCUCGGGAUUGUGGUUCUUGCCGCUUUAUUGUAGCGUGACCGCGAGAACUUGUCUAAACCUUAUCAUCUAGAGGAAGGUGAAGUCGUAACA